rnacentral:misc_RNA from 1 species
GAUGAAGAACGCAGCGAAAUGCGAUAAGUAAUGUGAAUUGCAGAAUUCAGUGAAUCAUCGAAUCUUUGAACGCACCUUGCGCUCCUUGGUAUUCCGAGGAGCAUGCCUGUUUGAGUGUCAUGAAAUUCUCAACCUUUUCAGCUUUCUUUGUUGAUCAGGCUUGGAUGUGGGAGUAUGCGGGCUUCUCAGAAGUCGGCUCUCCUGAAAUGCAUUAGCGGGACCUUUGUUGCCUGGCUUUGGUGUGAUAAUUAUCUACGCCAUUGUAGUCAAGCAGCUUAAAAUGAGGUUUCAGCUUCUAACCGUCUCCCCUGAGAUAACUUUUUGACAAUUUGACCUCAAAUCAGGUAGGACUACCCGCUGAACUUAAGCAUAUCAAUAAGCGGAGGA